GGAUGCGAUCAUACCAGCACUAAAGCAACGGAUCCCAUCAGAACUCCGAAGUUAAGCGUGCUUGGGCGAGAGUAGUACUAGGAUGGGUGACCUCCUGGGAAGUCCUCGUGUUGCAUUUU
rnacentral:rRNA from 16 species